UCGAGAAUAAUUCACAAUGGGGGCAACCCUGAUGGUGCAACGCCGCGUGGAGGAUGAAGGUCUUCGGAUUGUAAACUCCUGUCAUCCGGGAGCAAGACCUGACGGUUAACAGCCGGCAGGGUUGAUAGUACCGGAAGAGGAAGGGACGGCUAACUUCGUGCCAGCAGCCGCGGUAAUACGAAGGUCCCGAGCGUUGUUCGGAAUCACUGGGCGUAAAGGGAGCGUAGGCGGCGUGGUAAGUCAGAUGUGAAAUCCCGGGGCUCAACCCCGGAACUGCAUCCGAUACUGCCGUGCUAGAGUUUUGGAGAGGUAGCUGGAAUUCACGGUGUAGCAGUGAAAUGCGUGGAUAUCGUGAGGAACACUCGUGGCGAAAGCGAGCUACUGGACAACAACUGACGCU
rnacentral:rRNA from 1 species